AGGCGUACUGCUGAGUAACACGUGGAUAAUCUCGCCCUUGGGUGGGGCAUAACCUCGGGAAACUGAGGCUAAUUCCCCAUAGGUUCUUGAUACUGCAAUGUGCUUGAACCAAAAGUUUCGGCGCCCAAGGAUGAGUCUGCGACUGAUCAGGCUGUUGGCGGGGUAAAGGCCCACCAAACCUUUGACCAGUAGGGGCAAUGAGAGUUGUAGCCCCCAGUCGGGUACUGAGAUACGGACCCGGGUCCUACGGGAUGCAGCAGGCGCGAAACCUCCGCAAUGCACGCAAGUGUGACGGGGGGACUCCAAGUGUCAUGGAUUUUUUCCAUGUCUUUUGCCAAGUGUAAAUAGCUUGUUGAAUAAGGGCUGGGUAAGACGGGUGCCAGCCGCCGCGGUAAUACCCGCAGCCCAAGUUGUCUGGAUUUUUACUGGGUCUAAAGCGUUCGUAGCCGGUCUUCUAAGUCCUUUGUGAAAUCUGGCAGCCCAACUGUCAGGCGUGCAGAGGAAACUAGGAGACUUGGGAAAGGGAGGAGCUAGGGGAACUCUAGGGGUAAGGGUGAAAUCUAAUAAUCCUUAGGGGACCACCAGUGGCGAAGGCGCCUAGCUAGAACUUUUCCGACGGUGAGGGACGAAAGCCAGGGGAGCAAACGGGAUUAGAUACCCCGGUAGUCCUGGCCGUAAAUGAUGUGAACUAGGUGUUGCGCGUCCUUUUUGGGCAUGCAGUGCCGAAGGUAAGCCG
rnacentral:rRNA from 1 species